rnacentral:rRNA from 2 species
AUCGCAAGACCUUGUGCUACUAGAGCGGCUGAUGGCAGAUUAGGUAGUUGGUGGGAUAAAAGCUUACCAAGCCGACGAUCUGUAGCUGGUCUGAGAGGACGAUCAGCCACACUGGGACUGAGACACGGCCCAGACUCCUACGGGAGGCAGCAGUGGGGAAUUUUGGACAAUGGGCGAAAGCCUGAUCCAGCAAUGCCGCGUGCAGGAUGAAGGCCUUCGGGUUGUAAACUGCUUUUGUACGGAACGAAAAGCUUUGGGUUAAUACCCUGGAGUCAUGACGGUACCGUAAGAAUAAGCACCGGCUAACUACG